rnacentral:misc_RNA from 1 species
GCCGUCGUGGGUGCGGAGGUUGUCCUCCGUCGCGGGAUUGAGCCAUGGAUCCGGUCCUCCGCCGCCGCACUCCCCUGAUCCUCCUCAUCUCCUUCCUCCUCCUGAUCGUUUGCUUUCCAACGGAGGCCGAGGUCAUCACCCUCACUCCGGAGACCUUUACUGACAAGGUGAAGGAGAAAGAUACUGUGUGGUUUGUGCAGUUCUGUGUUCCUUGGUGCAAGCACUGCAAGAACCUGGGAACA